rnacentral:rRNA from 1 species
UACAGAGGGUGCGAGCGUUGUCCGGAAUCACUGGGCGUAAAGGGCGCGUAGGCGGCCCGAUAAGUAGGGGGUGAAAUCCUGUGGCUUAACUGCAGGGCUGCCUCCUAGACUGUCAGGCUUGAGCACGGUAGAGGCAGAUGGAAUUCCCGGUGUAGCGGUGGAAUGCGUAGAGAUCGGGAAGAACAUCGGUGGCGAAGGCGGUCUGCUGGGCCGUUGCUGACGCUGAGGCGCGACAGCGUGGGGAGCAAACAGG